rnacentral:rRNA from 1 species
CAUUACAAGAAGCCGAAAGGCUACUUAAAACCAUCGCGAACUAUUCCAAGUUGCUUCGGCGGUGCGGCUCUCCCCCCCGGGGGUCUGCCCCGUGCGCCGCCUCCUCCCCCCGGGAGCUGGCGGGGCGCCCGCCGGAGGUCACAAACUCUCAUGUAUUACAGUGGAUCUCUGAGUAAAAAACAAAUAAGUUAAAACUUUCAACAACGGAUCUCUUGGUUCUGGCAUCGAUGAAGAACGCAGCGAAAUGCGAUAAGUAAUGUGAAUUGCAGAAUUCAGUGAAUCAUCGAAUCUUUGAACGCACAUUGCGCCCGCUAGUACUCUAGCGGGCAUGCCUGUUCGAGCGUCAUUUCAACCCUCAAGCCCUGCUUGGUGUUGGGGCCCCACGGCUGCCGUGGGCCCUGAAAGGAAGUGGCGGGCUCGCUACAACUCCGAGCGUAGUAAUUCAUUAUCUCGCUUAGGGCGUUGUGCGGUGCUCCUGCCGUUAAAGCACCCCUUUAACUCAAGGUUGACCUCGGAUCAGGUAGGAAUACCCGCUGAACUUAAGCAU